AGCGAACGCUGGCGGCAGGCUUAACACAUGCAAGUCGAACGCCCCGCAAGGGGAGGGGCAGACGGGUGAGUAACACGUGGGAACGUACCCUUUGGUUCGGAAUAACUUGGGGAAACUCAAGCUAAUACCGGAUAAGCCCUUAUGGGGAAGGGUUUACUGACGAAGGAUUGGCCCGGGUCUGAUUAGAGAGUAGGUGAGGUAAUGGGUCACCAAGGCGACGAUGAGUAGCUGGUCUGAGAGGAUGAUCAGCCACACUGGGACUGAGACACGGCCCAGACUCCUACGGAAGGCAGCAGUGGGGAAUAUUGGACAAUGGGGGCAACCCUGAUCCAGCCAUGCCGCGUGAGUGAUGAAGGCCUUAGGGUUGUAAAGCUCUUUUACCCGGGACGAUAAUGACUGUACCGGGAGAAUAAGCCCCGGCUAACUUCGUGCCAGCCGCCGCCGUAA
rnacentral:rRNA from 1 species